UGCAAACGGCUCAUUAGAGCAGAUAUAUUUUAUUCCGGUGUUCCUCUAUGGAUAACUGCGGAAAUACUGGAGCUAAUACAUGCAAUAAAACCUCGACUUCGGAAGGGGUGCAAUUAUUAGUACAAACCAAUCGCUUCUGGCGUAGUUUGUUGACUCUGAGUAAUUCUGUGGAUCGUCGGUCAAUCCGACGAUGUCCGGAAAAAGUGUCUGCCCUAUCAACUUGAUGGUAGUGUAUUGGACUACCAUGGUUAUAACGGGUAACGGAGAAUCAGGGUUCGACUCCGGAGAGGGAGCCUUAGAAACGGCUACCACAUCCAAGGAAGGCAGCAGGCGCGUAACUUAUCCAUUAUAAAUUAUGAGAUAGUGACUAAACAUAAAAAGACCGUUCCUCACGGAACGGUUAUUUCAAUGAUACGAGUGUAAAUAUCUCGUAAAGGAACUAGUGGAGGGCAAGUCUGGUGCCAGCAGCCGCGGUAAUUCCAGCUCCACUAGCUUAAAACGUCAUUGCUGAGGUUAAAAAGCUCGUAGUUGAAACUAAGGCUUGUGAUAUGGUUCGUCCUAGACGUUAACUAUGUCCUUGUCUGAUUUGUCGGUUUUCCACUUGUGACUUCGGUUCUUGUGGUGGCUGGCGAGUUUACUUUGAAUAAAUCAGAGUGCUCAACACAGGCGUUCGCCUGAAUGUUGCAUCAAGGGAUAAUAGAAGAGGACUUCGGUCCCUUUUAUUGGUUAUUGGACCGUAGUAAUGAUUAAUAGAGACGAUUCGGGGGCAUUCGUAUCACUACGCGACCGGUGAAAUGGGAUGACCGUAGUGAGACGUCCAAAAGCGAAAGCAUUUG
rnacentral:rRNA from 1 species